GUGAUCUGAAAGCUAAAAUGGAAUUAAUACUUCAACGUAAAUAACAGGCAAGCCAAGAAUUUUAAUUUGGUAUACUAUUUAGAAAAGUUGGCAAUGCAAUCCUGGAAAAACAAAUUAGGAACUAUUUUGAUUUAAUUCGUAAUUAUGCAAACUCAGAUUUUUCUUGUAAAUUUUCAUAUCUAGGGCUUGCUAUUUAAAAAUAAGGUUCAUUAUUUUUUACGAAUUAGCUUAUUUAGAAAGGUGUUUGCUUAAUGUUUAGUAUUAGUUUAGAAUUUCCUAGUUCAGAACUACUAACCCAAAUAGGAGUUGAAUUACUUAGUCAUUGGGUCUCUAUAGAUGUUGUAAUAUGUAACUGGUUAUAUUCAUGUCUUUCAAUAAUCAAAUUAUGAGUAUUUGAAUUAAUUUGUAGGCUGUGUGCAUUGAGUGAAAUUAGCUCUCUCUCUCUCUCUCUCUCU
rnacentral:misc_RNA from 1 species